GGUGAAACGGCGGUGUAAGAGACCACCAGCGCUCCGGGUGACCGGAGCGGCUCGGUAAACCCCACCCGGAGCAAGGUCAAGACAGGACGUGACGGCGCGAGCCGCCGCGUCCGGCGCAGACGUUCGAGGGCGGCCCGCCCGAGUCUGCGGGUAGACCGCACGAGCCUGUCGGCGACGGCAGGCCCAGAUGGAUGGCCGUCCCCCGGUCCGCCGGGGACAGAAUCCGGCUUACAGGUCGACUCGUCCG
rnacentral:RNase_P_RNA from 1 species